ACCACGCCCAGCUAAUUUUGUAUUUCCAGUAGAGACGAGGUUUCUCCAUGUUGGUCAGGAGUUUGAGACCAGCCUGGCCAACAUGGUGAAACCCCAUCUCUACUAAAAAUACAAAAAUUAGCUGGCAUGGUGGUGGGCACCUGUAAUCUUAGCUACUUAGGAGGCAGAGGCAGGAGAAUCACUUGAACCGAGGAGGCGGAGGUUGCAGUGAGCCGAGAUUGUGCCAUUGUACUCCAGCCUAGGGGACUACACUAAAACUCCAUCUC
rnacentral:lncRNA from 1 species